rnacentral:rRNA from 1 species
UACGAAGGGUGCAAACGUUGCUCGGAAUUAUUGGGCGUAAAGCGCACGUAGGCGGCUUAGCAAGUCGGAUGUGAAAUCCCUCGGCUCAACCAAGGAAGUGCAUCCGAAACUGCUGAGCUUGAGUACGAAAGAGGAUCGCGGAAUUCCGCGUGUAGCAGUGAAAUGCGUAGAUAUGCGGAGGAACACCGAUGGCGAAGGCAAUCCCCUGGACCUGUACUGACGCUCAUGCACGAAAGCGUGGGGAGCAAACAGG